rnacentral:rRNA from 1 species
GGUGUGACGCCUGCCCGGUGCCGGAAGGUUAAGUGAUGGGGGUGCAAGCUCUUGAUCGAAGCCCCGGUAAACGGCGGCCGUAACAAUAACGGUCCUAAGGUAGCGAAAUUCCUUGUCGGGUAAGUUCCGACCCGCACGAAUGGCGUAACGAUGGCCACACUGUCUCAACCCGAGACUCAGCGAAGUUGAAAUGUUUGUGAAGAUGCAAUCUCCCCGCUGCUAGACGGAAAGACCCCGUGAACCUUUACUGUAGCUUUGCAUUGGACUUUGAACAGACUUGUGUAGGAUAGGUGGGAGGCUUUGAAGCAGAGACGCCAGUCUCUGUGGAGCCGUCCUUGAAAUACCACCCUGGUGUGUUUGAGGUUCUAACCUUGGUCCGUCAUCCGGAUCGGGGACCGUGCAUGGUAGGCAGUUUGACUGGGG